CACUAACCUAAUCCCUUCUCUCCCUGCCUUGAGCUCUGAGCUCACAAACCCUGAGGCUUCUGUGACUCCAACAAAGAGGAUGCUCAGAUUUCUACCAGCUUGGACACAGCAGCCUCAUGGCAUGAGGGGGGGAUUUGCUGCUGUUCACAUUGCAGUGACAUGGAGGUCUUUAUGGUCUUACAUUUCUGCUUAUCUGAUCCACCCCUGCCCUCCACACUCCUGGCAUGGUGCUAAUACUGAAACGCUUUUCCUCCCUCUGUUUGUGCCCCCCUCAGAGGAGAUAAUAUCCAAACACAAAAAAACCCCAGGUAGUCCCCAGUUAAGCCUGGACAUUAUUCCAUUUGAUCUGCUAGUAACAAAGCAGGAAAGACCCUGGGGCCCAAGGACUACUGGAUAAUGCUACAUCUGUGCUACUUUAUCAGUCUUGCACAAGGACAAACGAGCAGCAAAAGGGAACCUCCCUUCUCUCCCGUGGAGUGGAGUCUACAAUCAAGCAGCCAAGGCAGAGGAACAAGCCCUUGUCAGUCUGUAUGCACAGCCUGGCUGGCAGAGUGCAUUUUCCUUAACAUGUCUAAUCCCACAAGUAUGUGGUGGCUUGCUCUGCAGAAACCUCAGCUUUUCAGGAACACACCCUGUCACUGUUGGGACUUCACCAUGCUGAGUACUAUCCAGAGCUCACAGCCAGACGUGCUCCACCACAAACAGCCUGAGAGGGAAAAAUAAAGCCCUGCCUAUUUGCUUUUUGCAACAGCACAGAUGUCAG
rnacentral:lncRNA from 1 species